AUACUUAGAACACCAUCAUAAAACCGUUAGAAGAAGAAGAAGUUAAUACCAUUUUGUCCACCGAGGCUGUUAUCGUUGGCGAGCCUCCGAGCGUUGCAACCUUGGGUCUGAUCCUGUAUUCAGCUAACUUUGUCGUAUCGGGUCACUGAAGACUACACAAUGUCUGAUGAAAUGUCGACGCCCCCCGUCAAGCCUUCCGCUUACAACCGCUUGAAGAACCGGGUGGCGAACUUGUUCUCUCAAGGU